rnacentral:rRNA from 1 species
UAGGGAAUCUUCGGCAAUGGGGGCAACCCUGACCGAGCAACGCCGCGUGAGUGGAGAAGGUUUUCGGAUCGUAAAGCUCUGUUGUAAGAGAAGAACGUGUGUGAGAGUGGAAAGUUCACACAGUGACGGUAACUUACCAGAAAGGGACGGCUAACUACGUGCCAN